rfam:Myotis lucifugus cont2.18043, whole genome shotgun sequence.
GCCAGUGUUGCUCGGUGGUUAGAGCACUGGCCUGCACACCAGAGGGUCACAGGUUCGAUUCCAGUCAAGGGCA